AAAUACCUCAUCGAAAGAUGAGCUAAUACCGUAUAACACCGCAAGGUAAAAGCGCUUAACUGCGCGCCGAUUGAUGAGCCUAUCUUCCAUCAGGCUGUUGGUGGGGUAAUGGCCUACCAAACCUAUGACGGAUACCCGCCCUGAGAGGGGAAUCGGGCAGAAUGGGACUGAGACACGGCCCAUACACCUACGGGUGGCAGCAACAGGGAAUUGUGCGCAAUGGACGAAAGUCUGACGCCGCAAUGCCGCGUGAGGGAUGAAGGCCUUCGGGUCGUAAACCUCUUUUGCCAAGUCUGAGAGGGCUUGGAGAAUAAGUGACUGCUAACUCUGUGCCAGCAGCAGCGGUAAUACAGAGGUCACAAGCGUUAUCCGGAUUUAUUGGGCGUAAAGCGUUUCGUAGGCGGAUUUGUAAGUUAUUUUUCAAAGACCACGGCUCAACCGGGGGAAGGGAGGUAAUACUGCAGGUCUUGAUUUUUGGUGGGGUAUCUGGAACUGAUAGUGUAGUAGUGAAAUACGUUGAUAUUAUCAGGAACUCCAAGGGCGAAGGCAGGAUACUAACCAAGUAAUGACGCUGAGGAACGACAGCUAGGGGAGCGAAAGGGAUUAGAGACCCCUGUAGUCCUAGCCGUAAACUUUGCUCGCUAGGGAUAGGGCCCUUAAAAGCUUUGUCCCGCAAGCUAACGCGUUAAGCGAGCCGCCUGGGGAGUACGACCGCAAGGUUAAAACUCAAAGGAAUUGACGGGGACCCGCACAACCAGUGGAGCAUGUGGUUUAAUUCGAGACGAAACGAAGAACCUUACCCAGCCUUGACAUUGUACCGUUUUAGUCCUGCAGAAACGUGGGAUGAUCAAAAUUUAUUUUGAUGGUAUAACAGGUGUUGCAUGGCUGUCGUCAGCUCGUGCCGUAGGGUGUUCCCUUCAGUGGGGUAACGAGCGCAACCCUUGCCCUGAGUUAAAUAUUCUCGGGGGACUAUUUGAAUUUAUUUCAAGUGGAAGUGAGGACGACGUCAAGUCAGCAUGGCCCUUAUGGCUGGGGCUACACACAUGCUACAAUGAAGCCGACAAAGGGUUUGCCAAGCCGCAAGGCGGAGCUAAUCCCAUCAAACGGCUUCUCAGUGGGGAUUGAAGGCUGAAAUUCGCCUUCAUGAACGUGGAAUUGGUAGUAAUCGCAGGUCAGCUAUACUGCGGUGAAUACGUUCUCGGGUCUUGUACACACCGCCCGUCAAGUCAACAAAGUUAGGGGCACCUUAAAUCCAGCUGUGCUGGAUCAAGGCGACACUAGCGAUGGGGACUAAGUCGUAACAAGGUA
rnacentral:rRNA from 1 species